UCGAACGGUUAUUCUUUGCGGAUGGUGAACGGGAAUGAGGAAAAGCGGAAAAGCGCAGCCAGAAGCCCAGUUGAAAACUCGUGAAUAGUUGUGAGCAGUGCCAAGAAAGAAACAAGUACAAAAACGAAUAAAUAUAAACCGAAACUUGGGUGAUAAGUGCAACGACUCAUCAUCGGGGGACUCAGUUUCCAGUGAGGUUUUCACCGACCAUUUCCGAAGCGAGACGAGCGGAGCCAAAACGAGUGUGUUUAUUUAACACACUUCCUCGUUGCGAAAGCCUUCAGUUCGUGUCUGCUGCUCGCGAAGUGCGCGCCACAGUGAAGAGGGAAAGCGGAAGCGGAAACGGAAACGAGUGCGCAACCGAGAACGGAAACGGAAACGAAGGAACAUGUGUGUGUGACGGGACUGAUCGCGCUGUUCCCCAAAAACAAAAUAAAAGAUCGCUCAAUGCCAAGUAAAAGAUUGCUCAAUUAGUGAACUAGUGAACAACGCCAGAAACAAAUCAGUGACUAAAACUGCGCCAUCAAAAUAAACAAAUACUUUAGCGCGGACUUAAGCCAGGCCAAAAGGCAGGCAGGCAACAUGUGUGCCCCGGGGAACCUCAAUCGGCUCCUCAAUCGCCCCAGCAGCCUCACAGCUCUGCUCCUCGUCCUGGUCGCCCAAGCCAUCCACGUGGAAUACGCCCGGGCGGACUAUGAGAACACCUGGAACUUAUAUUACGAGCCGCCCUGCUGCACGGGCUCAUCUGCCGGCCAUCAUCUGCGCCACCACAAAGAUCAUGUGAAGGACUUCAGUUGCGGGCCGCUGCACUACAAGACGUUCUAUACGGAUGAGCACAAUAAUGCCCUUUAUGUGGGCGCCAUGGAUCGCAUAUUUCGGCUCAAUCUGCGCAACAUCAGCCAAUCGAUUUGUGAGCGCGAUGUCCUCAUAUUGGAGCCCACCGGAUCGGAUAUCCUGAAUUGUGUGUCCAAGGGCAAACGCGAGAAGGUGGAAUGCCGCAAUCACAUAAGGGUUAUUCAGCCGAUGAACUUCAAUGGCCAGAAGCUAUACGUUUGCGGAACCAACGCCCACAAUCCCAAGGAUUACGUAAUAAAUGCAAACUUAACACAUUUACCCAGAUCCCAGUACGUGCCCGGCGUCGGUCUGGGCAUUGGCAAGUGUCCCUACGAUCCCGCUGACAACUCAACCGCCGUCUAUGUGGAGAACGGAAAUCCCUUCGGCCUGCCCGCCCUGUACGCCGGCACGAAUGCAGAAUUCACCAAGGCGGACUCCGUCAUAUUCCGCUCGGACCUCUACAACCUGACGAAUGGACGCAAGGAGGCCAACUUCAAGAGAACCGUGAAAUACGAUUCCAAGCUGUUGGACAAACCCAACUUUGUUGGCUCCUUUGAAAUUGGAGAGUUUGUGUACUUCUUCUUCCGCGAACACGCCGUGGAGUACAUAAACUGUGGAAAGGCGGUUUACUCCAGAGUAGCUCGAGUUUGCAAAAACGAUAGAGGUGGAAAGUACAUGAUCAGCCAGAAUUGGGCGACCUAUUUAAAGGCGCGGAUGAACUGCAGCAUCUCCAGCGAAUUCCCCUUCUACUUCAACGAGAUACAGUCGGUCUACAAGAUGCCAACGGACGAUACCAAGUUCUAUGCCACUUUCACAACGAAUACGAAUGGUCUGAUUGGGUCGGCAGUUUGCAGCUACGACAUCCGGGACAUCAAUGCGGCCUUCGACGGCAAAUUCAAGGAGCAGGCCACCUCGAACAGCGCCUGGCUGCCCGUGCUGAACUCCAAAGUGCCGGAGCCACGUCCGGGAACUUGCCACAACGACACUGCCACGCUGCCGGACUCCGUGUUGAAUUUCAUUCGCAAACAUCCGCUAAUGGACAAGGCGGUCGAUCAUGAAUUUGGCAAUCCGGUCUUCUUCAAGCGGGACGUCAUACUCACCAAGUUGGUGGUGGACAAGAUACGGAUCGACAAGCUGAACCAGGAGUUCCUAGUGUACUUUGUGGCCACGACGUCGGGUCACAUUUACAAGAUAGUGCAGUUUAUGCACUACGGCCAGCGGCACUCGAAUUUGGUGGAUAUAUUCGAGGCCUCGCCGCAUAAUGAACCGAUCAGGGAGCUGACACUGAGCCACAAGACGGGUUCCUUGUACCUGGCCACCGAUCACCAGGUGAAGCAGAUCGACAUGGCCAUGUGUGCCCGUCGUUACGACAGCUGUUUCCGGUGUGUUUCGGAUCCUUACUGUGGAUGGGAUCAGGAGGUCAAUGCCUGCCGACCUUAUCAACUGGGUCUGCUGCAGGACGUGGCCAACGAGACGUCGGGCAUCUGCGACACGAGUGUCCUGCGAAAGAGAGUCACCUCCUCCUAUGGCCAAACUUUGCACCUCUCCUGCUUUGUCAAAAUGCCGGAAGUUCUGAGAAAGAAACAGACGCGCUGGUACCAUCACUCCACCGAAAAAGGACGCUACGAGGUCCGCUACACGCCCACCAAAUACAUCGAGACGAACGAGGGCGGUCUGGUCCUUUUGGCGGUGAACGAGGGCGACGGCGGGCGCUACGACAGCUACUUGGAUGGCACCCUGCUCUGCAGCUACGGCGUCACCGUGGACGCCCACAGAUGCUCCCCGCCGUCGCAGAAGCAGGAUUACCAGAAAAUCUACUCGCACUGGUGCAACGAGUUCGAAAAAUACAAAUCGGCCAUGAAGCAAUGGCAGGCCAAACAGGAGCAAUGUGGCCUGAAGGACAAAACAGGACCAAUCAGCAGCAACGGCAAGCAUGUGAACGAUGUGUUCAGCAACGAUGCUUUGGUCUGACCCAGAAAGUACUUGUACAGCUUUGAGUUCUUGUCGUCGUCGACGGAGGGCGUGGCCACCGCCCACCGCAAAUUGUACAUUUUCGUGUUCGUGCUUACCAUAUUUGCUCGCUUCUAAAGUUUCUAGUUAAAAUGUAAAUGCGCAGAGAGGCAGUAAGCACCCGAGGAAAAUACGGAGAACCACUAUGAAAAUGUGACAAGGCCGAGCUGAGGAAAAACAAAAUGAACAAAACAAAAAAAAAAAAGAAGAUAGAGGAAAAAACCACUACAAAGACUGAAAUUUUUAAGCUUUUAAAAUCGACAAUAUUUCCAAUAAUUUCGAUGCGUUUUUUGGUCAUGCUUUCGUUUCGUUUUGAGAUGUUGUCAGCGUCAAACUGAAUGAUUUUCGACAUUAACUAACUGAUAUACAAAGAUGGAGUAAACGAGAAAAGUUACUAUCAAAAGGAUCCUGCCAUAAGUCAAAUGGAAAUUACGGUUUUACACUCACACAAAGACACUUACAGAAGACACUAUUUCUAUUUCGAGCUAAGGUUAAGGUAAUCUAACAGAUACGGAUACAGAUACAGAACAGAUACAGAUACAGAUGGAACUGCAACCACCUAAGUGAGAAUCUGACCUAAGGCAAAGUAUUAACCAAGCUCAUGAGGCGCAACGAUUUGAUUUUUAUUUCGAUUUGGUUCAGUUUCCGGCAACUCGUCGCUUGGCCAUUUCGGGUUUGGGGUUGGGAAGAUCUUAAACGAAUUUGUAUAUUACUUAGCCAUAUUUGUUCGACUAAACUAGCGUAAGAUAAACAUAUACACGAAUAGCUGCCCCUGUUUAGGUCAUAGACGAAUAUGGAACCAACUUAUUACGAUAGCCAAAACCGAAGAAACGGAAAUAAAGUUUCAGAAAAGAAAUGACGCACAGCAUAAAGGCUAUAUGAACUAUAGCAUGGGGGAAAAUUGUAAAUAGAAGAGCUUUAGACGUAAGUAAAGUAACAGCAAUGAUUUUCAUUUUUACUCGGCUCCAAAUUUUUAUUUGAAAUUCUCUAUUCGGCAUUAACUCGCUCUUGUAUAGAUUGUGCGUUGGCCUAAUGUUUACGAUAAGCAAUACAUAGUUAUAUAUAUGCAUACGCGUACUUAUAAAUAAAUAUAGAUACAUGAAGUUACUGCAUUGAGACCAACAUGCUCAUGAUUACUUACCCGUAAAUAGCGUAAGUAAGUUGGUGUGGCAAGUAAAUACGUUUUUAGUAAUAUUGCAGAAAUUCAUUCACACAAAACAAAAACAACACAUCUCGUUGCAUUUAGUAAACAUAUUUGUAUCCGCGAAAACUGCCAUAAUAUUGCAAAAAAUCAAGGAAAACCCAAACGCUUGACUCAACCCAAAACCUAAAUAGGUUUUUUUUCAACAGAAAACAAAACAAAAGAGACGAAUGUAAGAAAAUCUUAACCAUUACUCUCACCCAUACACACACUUGAAAUAUUUUUCUAAAGAUUUUCUCUGCAAAAUUUUUAAUGUUUUCAUCUUAGGAUUUACCCAAGCAAAAAAAAAAAGAAGGAAAGCAAAAAUUUUAGCAUUGCAUACUGGCAUUGCCAUUGUAAAUGAACUAAACCAAAACCACAAAAAGAAAACUAUUAAACAACAAAUAUUUAAAAGCUACUAAUGCUCUGAGCUUCUAACUUUAAUGAAUGAAAUGUUUUUGCGUUGCCUUUAGUAGAGUUUUUUUAUUUGAACGUUUAUUGUAAAUAAUUUAAAGAUUAUGUGAAAUGUUUUGUAUGACAAUCACAUGAUGUUGAGUAAAAAAUAAAACAAACGGAAACAAAAGAGAAAAACAAAAGGACACUCGGAAAAAACACGCAGAAAAUAUGAAUCAAAUUGCCAAUGUGGCAAUUAAAGAUGAAAAUUAAUAUUAAUUGAGUACUUAACGAACAAUUCACUGUAAAAAUAUUAAUACAAAUUAAAUAAAUAUUCGCGGUAAAAAUAUAUAUACAUAAAUAGAUAAACGACUUUUACAAAGUAUUCAUACAAUAAAAGAAGAUUUGCGCUUAACCACCAUUCGAAUAAACCAAAUGCAAGGUUCCAUUCGAACAUUUUCAAAACGCAGAUUGGUUCACGAGCUAUCCAAAUAUUUCCGGAAAACAGCAAAAUCCGAAUAAAAGAAACAAAUUAAGAAAAACAAAUUAGAUGUAAACACAUAAAAAGAAAAAUGCAGUAAAUAAAUGUGAUAAGAUUC